AGCCUUAAACGGCCGGCUAAGCGGAUUAGCCAAUCGGUUUGGUGACCUUUCCAUCCCGUUCCGUUCCACUGGUCCCUCGCUGUCCCCAGCUUCCCCGCCCCUCCUCUAGCCGUCGAUUCGAACUCUCUCAAAACCAAAACAGCAGUGCAUGAGAAAAAAGGGGAAAAAUCUCGACACAUCGCAACGCGCCGCUCCCAAAUCUAGGUUGCUUGGCCAUGGCCGACCCGCCGGCCCCCGACACACAGCUGGAACAGGCGUCACCCGCCGCUGCCCCCGCUGACCCUGCCGAGGACGCCCCGGUCGAGAAGAGCCCCGCGGCGCCCCUCACGCUGGAGCCGGACGCCGCUGCGGUGUCGGAUGGGGCAGCGGGUGAGGUGGAGGAUGAGGAGUACGUGAGCGACCCCGACGAUGAGGCGCUUCCUACGAUGCGGCGCCGAGAGGCCAGUGACGACGAGGGGUCCGAGGACGGGAGGCCCACGGCGCGGAUGGGCCCUGACCAGGACGACGACGGACAAGGGGCCCCCGAGGCGUACGACGACGAGGUGGACGAGGAGGAUAAGGAGUACUACGACGAGGAAGACAUGGGAGAGGGGUUCGAGGAGGAGUACGAAGGGCGCGUGGCACUUCCCAUGGACGACGGCGGCGGCAGCCAGGUCUCGCGCGGAGAGGAUGGCGUGGCUAUGGAGGAGGGGUUGACGGAGGGGGAGGCCAAGGGCGAGGGGGGAGAGAAGGAGCAGGAGCCGUUUGCGGUGCCCACUUCCGGCGCCUUCUACAUGCACGAUGACCGGUUUCAGGAGGAGAACCGUGGCAGACGCAGGCGAAUGUUUGGUGUGAGGAAGUUAUGGGAUGUUAAAGACAAUCAAGCUUGGGUGCAUGACAGAUUUGAGGAGAUGAACUUGCAUGAUGAUUUCUAUGAAUCUUUAUUGCAGGACCAGCGGAUGUCAAGAGGUCGUGGUGGUCGAGGUAAAGCAAGAGGUGGUGGCCGUGGUUUUUCCAGAGGUGGAAAGCAGCGUAAUUACCAUGAAGAUAGCAACAACACCCAAAAUCGCACCCCAAAGGUAGUGAGAGGGCGAGGACCUCGACGUUAUGAAGCUGCUGCAAGGAACAACAGAGAGGUUGUUGGAUCCCAACGAAAACAAGCAGCUAGAUUUCGAGAAUCUGCUCCAAAUGCUGUAGCAGCCAGAGAUUCCGGGCAAGUUUCACAUGCACAGCCAGAGGCUGCCCCUCCCAAAAGGAAUGUCAUGAGUUCAAGCCUAAAUUCUGCGUCCCCACCUUUUUAUCCCUCCAGUGCAUCUACUCAAGAUUUUCCGGUAGCAGCUCAAACGAGGGACAUACAAGCAGGAGGUUCUAAUAAGAUCCCUCCAUCUUCCAUGAAGAUGGAUGAUAACUCAAAGCUACAAUCUGGUUCAAUGGUUAGAGGGAGAAUAGCCAUGGAUUAUGGUGGGCGUGAUAAGUUACUUGCUGAUGGUCCUAUUAGGUCAUCCCAAGGAAGGGCACCAACGGCGUCACUGAAUUCAGGAUUCACAUCAUCAUCUGUUAAUCCUGGCCAAUCCCCUAUUGCGAGGGCUUCAGGGGGCAAUUCAAACAUCGGAAUAUCUUCAAAUAAUCAGCCACAAAGUCAUGGAUCAGUGAUGCACCAAAAGUUAGGGCAAGUGCAGAAUCAGUCUGCAACAAGAAUCCCAACUCAGCAAUUGAGUCAUCGGACUAGUAAUUUGUCACCAGUGGCUCAGCAUCUACCUGGUAAAUCAGGAGAAAGUGGCGAGAAUGGUUCAUACCCUACUCUGAAUGAUUCAAAGACAGCUUCUGCGGUGGUAAAAGUCAAUAGCCAGGAAACUGGGAUGAGUUCAUUUAUGUAUGGUGGCACCCAGGUUAUUGGGGCUGCGGGCCUUUCCCAGGGCGAUCAAAAUUUUCCUGGCACUCCAGCUCUGCUGCCAGUGAUGCAAUUUGGGAGUCAGCAUCCUGGUGGUCUUGGAGUUCCUACUGUUGGUAUGGCCCUCCCUGGCUAUGUAGCUCAACAGCAGAUGGGAAUGGGAAACAACGAAAUGACAUGGUUGCCAUUAUUGGCUGGUGCAGCAGGUGCUUUUGGAGGAUCAUAUCCACCCUAUAUAGCCCUUGAUCCGAGCUUUUACUCUAGAUCUUCAGGACAGACAUCAUCAUCAGUUCCAUCCAGGUGACUAGGCGUUCAGGCGAGAGCUGGGUUCAUCUGGACGCCUAGGCGGGGCCUACGCGACAAGUCGCCACUGUUUCCCAAGGCGAGCUGGGGAACCUAGUACUAAUAGAGGGUCAAAAUAUCCUCAAAAUGAUAUUGGGAAUGAGGAGCUUGAUGAGCGCCAGAACAAGCCUAGAAGAUACUCAGAGAUGAACUUCAGCCAGUGAAGCAUCUUGUAAGGUGAACUGCAUCUGAAUAAGCUGGUUAUGGCCCUAUUUAGGCCCUUUGUGAUCUCCAGUUCUGAUCUGGAGCACUUUGGGUGGCUUUGAUACCCUUAAUUAUGUUAGGUCUUAUGCCUGUUCGUGGAGUGUUAUCUGAUGGGUCACUUCACAGCAGAGCAGGGGGUGGAAUUCGUUACUUGAAUUAUAGUAUUGCUCGGUUGUGCUGCGUCUGGAAAUGUCAAAUUUGUUGCUGCGUCUGAAGACGUGGACGGUUGCUGAAGAGAGCUUGAAAAUAAUGGUUUGCGUUGGUUGAUAAAGUUUAAGAGUUUUUUUUUUAAAGUACAUCCUGUUAGUGACUCCAGUUGGUGGCAGUGUACUCUGAUGUAUCGGGUCCGCAUAUAGUGGCUGCUAAGACCAAGCGGCUUCAUUGCCGAAGCUUGUAUAUUUUGGAAUCCGUUGAGUGCGGUUUGUGACAAUUUUCAGCUUGCAUGAGCGUGUCCAACAUGGAUUUUUUUUUUGAAAAGCCAACAAGAGGAAUCCGCCCGUCUUUUUAUCCCCGGGUGAUAGAAAUUUC